rnacentral:rRNA from 1 species
CGCCUCUUGACACUAUAAGAGGUCCAGCCUGCCCAGUGACUCUGUUCAACGGCCGCGGUAUCCUAACCGUGCGAAGGUAGCGUAAUCACUUGUUCUUUAAAUGAGGACUAGUAUGAAUGGCACCACGAAGGUUCUACUGUCUCCCUUUUUUAAUCAGUGAAACUAAUCUUCCCGUGAAGAAGCGGGAAUAAACUUAUAAGACGAGAAGACCCUAUGGAGCUUUAAACUAUUUAUCAAUUGCUCAUCCAUUACCACUAUUUCAGAACCAUAUCUUUUAUUAUAGCUUUUUGAUAAUAAGUUUUAGGUUGGGGUGACCGCGGAGUAAAAAAUAACCUCCAUAUUGAAAGGAAACCUUUCCUGAGCAAAAAACUACAAUUUUAUGCACCAAUAUACUGACAUUAAUUGACCCAAUAAUUUGACCAACGAACCAAGUUACCCUAGGGAUAACAGCGCAAUCUACUUCAAGAGCUCCUAUCGACAAGUAGGUUUACGACCUCGAUGUUGGAUCAGGGUAUCCUAGUGGUGCAGCCGCUACUAAAGGUUCGUUUGUUCAACGAUUAAAACCCU